AAUGAUUGGUGAGUUUUGGCAUAUAGAUAGCUCAUCUUCUAUCCACACAUAGACUUGGAGUUUGGCUCAAGCAGAGAGAAACAAUGACUCUGCUACUGCUUAAGCGUGGCCUGCUCUUGGCUUUGCUUUUUCAGAUUUUGAUCAUGUCUCACAGCCCAAGGCAGGUAGAAUCCAGGCCACUUCCUGUCCAAGAGCAGCAGAGGUACUCGAAGAUGUUUGCGCUGCUGGGCCUCAUUUGUGAGUGUUGUGAUGGUGUGGGUGGUGAUUGCAGGAGUACCUGGGUCUCCUCUUGCUCUAAACUCCAGUGCCUUCCAUGGAGAUCACAUUGAUCAUGUACAUAUAUUUUUGCUUGAGUUCCUAUGCUUUGUUUGUAUAUGUUUUGUUCAUCUGAAAGGCAAUGUUCUGUUUUCUUUUCCAGUCAAGAAAAUCCUCUUCUGCAACAAUAUAGUUAAGCACAGAAACCACUCUUUGUUAUGCUCCUUCCCAAUUCCCAAAUCGAAGUUCUUCCUCCAUAGGUUCAUCAGAGGAAUAGAAUCUGUGCCCUGAGGAAUUGUUGUUACUGGAAGUGUGUAAUGGCAAGAGAUGGUGCUGCUAGUACUACAGACAGCAAGUGUGUAAUAACACUAUCCUUGUGUUUUAGCAAGGGAGCAACUCUAUUUCCAUGAAA